rnacentral:rRNA from 1 species
CAACCUGCCGUCUACUCUUGGACAGCCUUCUGAAAGGAAGAUUAAUACAAGAUGGCAUCAUGAGUCCACAUGUUCACAUGAUUAAAGGUAUUCCGGUAGACGAUGGGGAUGCGUUCCAUUAGAUAGUAGGCGGGGUAACGGCCCACCUAGUCUUCGAUGGAUAGGGGUUCUGAGAGGAAGGUCCCCCACAUUGGAACUGAGACACGGUCCAAACUCCUACGGGAGGCAGCAGUGAGGAAUAUUGGUCAAUGGGCGAGAGCCUGAACCAGCCAAGUAGCGUGAAGGAUGACUGCCCUAUGGGUUGUAAACUUCUUUUAUAAAGGAAUAAAGUCGGGUAUGUAUACCCGUUUGCAUGUACUUUAUGAAUAAGGAUCGGCUAACUCCGUGCCAGCAGCCGCGGUAAUACGGAGGAUCCGAGCGUUAUCCGGAUUUAUUGGGUUUAAAGGGAGCGUAGAUGGAUGUUUAAGUCAGUUGUGAAAGUUUGCGGCUCAACCGUAAAAUUGCAGUUGAUACUGGAUAUCUUGAGUGCAGUUGAGGCAGGCGGAAUUCGUGGUGUAGCGGUGAAAUGCUUAGAUAUCACGAAGAACUCCGAUU